UGGUAAUUCUAGAGCUAAUACAUGCUAAAAACCCCGACUCACGAAGGGGUGUAUUUAUUAGAUAAAAAACCAAUGCCCUUUGGGCUUCAUGGUGAAUCAUAAUAACUUAACGAAUCGCAUGGCCUUGCGCCGGCGAUGGUUCAUUCAAAUUUCUGCCCUAUCAACUUUCGAUGGUAGGAUAGUGGCCUACCAUGGUAUCAACGGGUAACGGGGAAUUAGGGUUCUAUUCCGGAGAGGGAGCCUGAGAAACGGCUACCACAUCCAAGGAAGGCAGCAGGCGCGCAAAUUACCCAAUCCCGACACGGGGAGGUAGUGACAAUAAAUACUGAUACAGGGCUCUUUUGGGUCUUGUAAUUGGAAUGAGUACAAUUUAAAUACCUUAACGAGGAACAAUUGGAGGGCAAGUCUGGUGCCAGCAGCCGCGGUAAUUCCAGCUCCAAUAGCGUAUAUUAAAGUUGUUGCAGUUAAAAAGCUCGUAGUUGAACCUUGGGCCUGGCUGGCCGGUCCGCCUCACCGCGUGUACUGGUCCGGCCGGGCCUUUCCUUCUGGGGAACCGCAUGCCCUUCACUGGGCGUGUGUGGGAACCAGGACUUUUACUUUGAAAAAAUUAGAGUGUUCAAAGCAGGCCUUUGCUCGAAUACAUUAGCAUGGAAUAAUAGAAUAGGACGUGUGGUUCUAUUUUGUUGGUUUCUAGGACCGCCGUAAUGAUUAAUAGGGAUAGUCGGGGGCAUCCGUAUUCAAUUGUCAGAGGUGAAAUUCUUGGAUUUAUUGAAGACGAACUACUGCGAAAGCAUUUGCCAAGGAUGUUUUCAUUAAUCAGUGAACGAAAGUUAGGGGAUCGAAGACGAUCAGAUACCGUCGUAGUCUUAACCAUAAACUAUGCCGACUAGGGAUCGGGGGGUGUUAUCAU
rnacentral:rRNA from 1 species